UGAAAAAUAGUUUCAUCAAGGACCCACCAGGAACAUUAUGCAUCGUGUCAAUGUUGGUUCAACAGAUUCACCAAACUCAUCACAAUAUCUCCAAUCAGUUUCCGGACUUCUAUAUAGGUACGGUCCAAGUGCUCACUGACUCCCCUUCCUUCCCAAGUAAAACCUGAAAAAUAUGGAUAGAUGAGUCAGUAAGAAUCAAUAAAACUACAAUCACCUAUAAUUUUACUUGAAAUCUCACAUGACCAUCUGGUUGUAAAGACCCUUUUGUCAAUAGGACUUGAAACAUAAUUAAAAUCUCCAGCUAAAAUUAAAUCUAUCCCCCACUAAGAAUAGGACACGGGAGAGCGAUGACAAAUCCAGCCAGUUGUCCUCCAAAGUUUGCCUCCCCAAGAGUCAUAAUGUGCAAAAUACCGUGCCUCUUAUCAUAAUACCAUGCACAGAAUAAAUAAAAAUAUUAUUAUUAAACUAACAAGAAUGUGUA